rnacentral:rRNA from 1 species
AUUGAACGCUGGCGGCAUACCUUACACAUGCAAGUCGAACGGCAGCACGGGUGCUUGCACCUGGUGGCGAGUGGCGAACGGGUGAGUAAUAUAUCGGAACGUACCUUAUUGUGGGGGAUAACGCAGCGAAAGCAGUGCUAAUACCGCAUAAUCCCUAAGGGGGAAAGCGGGGGACCGUAAGGCCUCGCGCAAUUAGAGCGGCCGAUACCUGAUUAGCUAGUUGGUGAGGUAAAGGCUCACCAAGGCAACGAUCAGUAGCUGGUCUGAGAGGACGAUCAGCCACACUGGGACUGAGACACGGCCCAGACUCCUACGGGAGGCAGCAGUGGGGAAUUUUGGACAAUGGGGGCAACCCUGAUCCAGCAAUGCCGCGUGAGUGAAGAAGGCCUUCGGGUUGUAAAGCUCUUUUGUCAGGGAAGAAACAGCAGCUCUGACACAGUUUGCGAAUGACGGUACCUGAAGAAUAAGCACCGGCUAACUACGUGCCAGCCGCCGCGGUAA